rnacentral:rRNA from 1 species
AGAUUGCAGCACGAGAGUUUCGCGUAUGGUCUCCCACUACACUACUCGGUCUUGCUCUUAGUAGCUUAACUACAGUUGAUCGGACGGGAAACGGUGCUCUCUACUAGAUAUGGCCGCAACC